rnacentral:lncRNA from 1 species
GUUUUUAGUUCUGAAAAGGUUGAGACCUAGUGAGCCAGAAGCAGGUCAUAGUGAACUACAGACUCUCCCACUGAGAGAAAGGACAAGAGAGUCAGAUUCCUGAUGUUCUUAUGGAAGGGGACUCUCCUUCCAAACAAUAACCGUCUUCAAUUUUAUCCUCCCCUUCCUGGGAGCCAAAGAUGUCAACUUGAAUGGCUCUUCCUCCAUUUCCCAUCCUUUGAGCCAGAGAUGUGAAGCCUUUUUUGGAUCACAAAGCCUGUCGACAAGUUGGCAAAGUCCAAGUAGAGUAAGGAUCACACCCUGAAGUGGAAACUUCAGAUGAAGAGACAAGUGUCCCAUGAAGAGACAUGGUAAAGAAGAGCACAGGCACAGCUAAAACUCCACCUCUACACCUGGAGACAUCAAGAGACAGGGCCUCGCCUACCUCUAGAUACCCUAAAAGCUGCACACCUUUUUCUUUGUUUGGGUCAGCCAGGGUUUCCUAUCCCCCAUGGUUUUCUCUCUGUGUUUGAGUGUAAGCAAAAAGCCUCAUUCCUGUACCAAGAUACUUUUGUUUUAUUCUUCUGAUAGAAAGCACAGGACCCCAAGGAGCCCACAACAGAAUCACCAUGAAUGUAUGAGGCAUGCAUGGUACUCUGACAUUAUAAUAGCUACAGUGUCACUAAGAGACAGGAAUUGUUCAGCUCCAUUACAAUCUUAUGGAACCAUAGUCACUUAUGUGGUCCACUGUUGACUGAAACAUUGCUAUGCAACACAUGACUUGCAUAUGUGGCUUGGUAAACAGCACUACAUUUUUAUCAUAGUACAUCAUAUAAUUAUGUCUAGAAAAAGACACAAAGUAUCGGAGAAAGUAUUUAAUUUGGAGUUCCUAUAAACUUUCCAAUUAACAUCUCUAGGAGAACCAUACUAGAAACUUGGACUUGCUGUCCUUGGGUGUAACUUGUCCCUAUUGGGUUUUCUGAAUUCUGUACAGAGUUAAACUGUCAAGGAGAAAAUGUGUUGACACAAGUGGUGAUAAAAAAUUGAAAACCACUUUGCAAACCUUUCAAACAUUUAUAACAGUUGAAAUUAGGUUACGGCUCUUCCUUUUCUUCCUUAUAAGAAAAUUCUUAUAAUGAGGACAAAUGGUUUUAAAUCCAAUCAGACUUUUUUUUUUUUUUUGGUACUGGGGGUCGAACUCGGGUCCUUGCACUUGUGAAGCAGGCGGAGGAACCACUGAGCUAAAUCCCCGGCCCAAUCAGACUUUUGUUGUUGCUGUUGUUUUGUUUUGUUUUGUUUUGUUUUUGGUACCAGGGAUCAAACUCGGGACCUUGCACUUCGGAGGCAGGCACCAGAACCACUCAGCUAAAUCCCCAGCCCUUUUUUUUUUUUGGUACCAGGGAUCAGGGAUCAGACUCAGGACCUUGCGCUUUUGAGGCAGGUGCCAGAACCCCUGAGCUAAAUCCCCAGCCCAAAUCAGACUUUUUGACAUGAAAUAUUUUCUAAUGGGGACUCUCUCCUUUGUGUUUCUCAUGUGUAUCAGAACAAUCACUUACCUGCCAAAAAGAAAUGGAGUGUGGUACAAGAAAAGGCAGAGACAAAGCUAGUUGUCUGGGCUUCCCCAGGCAAGCCAAGGCCUCUCUAACCCUGGCUGUGGAGACCUGCUCCUUACACAUUUCCCUAAGGGCUGAAGAGAUCUUUCCCCAAAGCACAACCUAAGGAAUACCCAGUUAAAGCCAUGAACAAACAUUAGCAAAGUAAUUUUUUAAAGGUUCAAAGAGACAGAAUCUCACAGAAUUAGUAGGAAACAAGUGUAGCUGAUAUUGUAAUUGGGCAUGCAAGCUAUAACAACAUAAGUAUCAAUUUUUUGAUUCUUUAUUUAUAGACAAUAUAAUGAAAAUAAAAGUCUUUGUUGUCCUGAAUGGACCUGAUUCAAAUAAGCCUUUCUUUUCACUGUAUCCUGCAAUACUGUUUCAUCUCUGAUACUAACCACCCAGAGAAUGCAUAGAGUCCACAAAGUCUCUAUGCAGACACCAGCUGCAGGUUGAGGGGCCCACAGGCCACCAGCACUUCUGACCAACUGGCUACAAAUUCAGGGAUUCCCAUGAGUCCUUCAGGUUUGAUAACUCACUAGAAUGACUCAGAGAACUUAGAGAUCAAGAAUAAUUGUCAUAAAGGACACAAAUCAAGAAGAGCCAAAUAGAGAGACCUACAGGGAUGGGUCUGGGAGGAUCCCAGGCACAGAGGUUCCUGGUCCUGUCCUGGAUAUUGGGGUAUAUCACCUCCUCAGCAUAUUGAUGUGAUCAAAGAAGGAAAGUUCACCUAAGAAGCCUUAGUUUUGAGAUAUUUUAUUAGGGUUUCAUUACAUAAGCACAGUUGAUUAAAUUAUUGACCAUGUGAUACUUUAUUUUAGUCAGCUUUCCAUUACUAUAACAAAUACCUAAGGUAAAUCAAUUUAAUAAGAGAAAAGUUUAUUUGGCUCACAGUUUUGUAGGUUUCAGUCCAUAGUCAGCUGGCCUUGUUUCUUUGCACCUAUGGGGAGGCAAGAGGUCAUGGGGGAAUGUGUGGUGGAGGAACAACUCACCUCAUGGAAGUCAGGAAGCAAAGAGACAAAGGAAGGGCCCAGGGUCCCAAAAUACCCUUUAAAGGCACAUCCCCACUGACCCAACUUCCUCUCAUUAUGUCCCACAUCUUAAAUGUUCUACCACCUCCCUAGAGCGCCUCAGACUUGCGACCCAGCCUUUAACAUAUGGGAUCCUGGGGAAUACUUAUCUUAUGGUUGAACUUGAUCUCUGUCUUCUUUCUCCUCCCUAGAAAUUUGAAGUCAAGGGGUCAAGCUGAUAACACUUUGCUCAAAGCCCAACCCUCUAAUUAUGUGGUUGGUCUUUCUGGCACAAUCAGCUCUGUCCUGAGUUAUGUCAGCAUGAACUCAGUUAUGGCCAAGGGCCCAUCGUGAACAGCAUGGGCAUUGCUACCACUCAGGGAGUUUCAAGGAUUCAGAGGCCCUUGGGAAGCAAAAACAAAAAUCAUACUUUUUAUUUUUUUUAACCAAUAUAAGUCUGCCAGGACAAUUCUCCCUGAAAAAGCAAGUAUCAUAUGGAUUUUCCCCCAAUUGAGAAUAAAUGAAUUGUUGGGAAGAGAAUUUUGGGCUAAAGGUCAGUAUGAAAGAAGUCUUAAGAAAAAGAAGAAAGAUGGUAGGGAGAAGGAAAGAUUAUGUAGUAAUAGUAAUAUAAAACAAAUGAUUAAUUAAAAGAUGCAAAUUCGGGGCUGGGGGUUUAGCU